UACGUAGGGUGCGAGCGUUGUCCGGAAUUAUUGGCGUAAAGAGCUCGUAGGCGGUCUGUCGCGUCGAUCGUGAAAACUUGGGGCUUAACCCUGAGCUUGCGGUCGAUACGGGCAUGACUGGAGUUCGGCAGGGGAGACUGGAAUUCCUGGUGUAGCGGUGGAAUGCGCAGAUAUCAGGAGGAACACCAAUAGCGAAGGCAGCUCGCUGGGACGUUACUGACACUGAGGCGCGAAAGCGUGGGGAGCGAACAGG
rnacentral:rRNA from 1 species